AGCCAAUAGAUACCCGGGUAGUCCACGCCCUAAACGAUGUCUACUAGUUGUUGGUGGAGUAAAAUCCAUGAGUAAACGCAGCUAAACGCGUGAAGUAGACCGCCUGGGGAGUACGGUCGCAAGAUUAAAACCUCAAAGGAAUUGACGGGGGCCCGCACAAGCGGUGGAUUAUGUGGAUUAAAUUCGAUGCAACGCGAAAAACCCUUACCUGGCCUUGACAUGCCACUAACGAAGCAGAGAUGCAUUAGGUGCCCGUAACGGGUAAAGUGGACACAGGUGCUGCAUGGCUGUCGUCAGCUCGUGUCGUGAGAUGUU
rnacentral:rRNA from 1 species